GAUGCCGUGCAGACAGCUUCUUCCUUUCCUAGGUCUCUGCUUUCCGACCUCCACUCCCCGAGGCCAUCCUGGAAAUGGAGGACGGAGCUGGGUCCCCCAGCCACUGGUUCCACAGUUGCACUUUGCUCCGGGUGAGGCCCGGGGACGCCACCCUGCCACGGUGCUGGCAGCAGGCUGAAGAACUCGCCACCAGCCAUGGAAGACCCAGAGACCCGUCUUCCACCACCAAGGAUCCUUCCUCGCACACCCUGCUCCCGAGGGCAGGAGGCCGGGCACGGGGGCAGCCCCGUCCUGCGCUCAGCAGCUCCGCGCACUCACUCCCCUCCCUGGGAUUUUUUUUCCCUACCCAACCAUGCAGCCUUCGCUGCUCAAUUCCCAUCCACACGCGGGACUUCAAGGCGAGUUUGUAUUCAAACUGAAGGAAGGCAGUUCGCCAUCCUGCCCCAGGCAGCAUCGUGUGGUUCCUCUAAAUACCGUGGGCUCUGCAGGAGCCAGGGCUCGCCAGCCUUCUUGGCUUCCCCACAGGGCACGGUGACUGCCCUGCGGGCUGGCACAGAGGGGCCAAGACCCCCGAGGGGCGUCGUGGGACACAGGCAGAGAAGGGAUGACGGCAGCAGAAGCACGGAUCAGUUAACACAAAGCAGGGCAGUGCCACGGGGCAAGGGGACAAGGCACCUGGCCCCAAGCAGCUGCAGCUGAGGUUUCCCCUCCAUGCCAGCGCCCCAUCCCUUCUGGCUUCAGGACUGGCUUCAGCUGACCCACAUCCUCCUGGUGCUCCGGGGGUCGCUCCCCCGUCCAUCGGGACCCUGUAACUCAGCCCCACCCCCCCCACCUCCUCACAUCUGGAAACCGUCCCAGAUAAACCACGGCUUUCUGUGCCCGAGCUGCUGCCCUGGCACAGAAACGGUCCCAGACCCCUCUCCAAUCCUACUGCCCAAAGCUGAACCAUUCGGGGACACCGAAGGACGCCCUGGCAACUCUGUGCUGCUGCCUGGGAUGGGUUUCAGAUGGCUGUGCCGGGCGGAGGAGCCCUGCUGCUUGCUGCUCACUUACCCAUCCAUUACCCGUCUCGCGUCCAUUAGCUCUCCCUCCACCACCCACCAAGCGACCAGAAGCGUUCCCCAGGCCCCCACGCAGCAUUUGCAGCCCAGAGGAGAGCUGUGCUGAAGUCGCUCCUCCAGGCAUCACCAUUUUGGGCUGCGUUGCCUGUAGUUGCCAGGACGGCGGGCAGCGUCGCGUGGGUUUCACUCAGGCGAUGCCGCUCCUCAGACUACGGGGCUCCUGGGGAGAGCUGGGUGGAAGGGGACGGAGCUUCCCACCU
rnacentral:lncRNA from 1 species